rnacentral:sRNA from 1 species
AAGAAAAUGACAGAAAC